UUGGAGGGCAAGUCUGGUGCCAGCAGCCGCGGUAAUUCCAGCUCCAAUAGCGUAUAUUAAAGUUGUUGCAGUUAAAAAGCUCGUAGUUGAAUUUCGGGAUCAAUGUUUCGGUCAUGCCGUUGGUAUGUACUGAUAUUAUUGAUUUCUCACCUUCUAAAGAACCGUAAUGCCAUUAAUUUGGUGUCACGGGGAAUUAGGACUGUUACCUUGAAAAAAUUAGAGUGUUUAAAGCAGGCUCACGCUUGAAUACAUUAGCUUGGAAUAAUGAAAUAGGACAUCCGAUUCUAUUUUGUUGGUUUCUAGGAUCGAUGUAAUGAUUAAUAGGGAUAGUUGGGGGCAUUAGUAUUCAAUUGUCAGAGGUGAAAUUCUUGGAUUUAUUGAAGACUAACUACUGCGAAAGCAUUUGCCAAGGAUGUUUUCAUUAAUCAAGAGCGAAAGUUAGGGGAUCGAAGACGAUCAGAUACCGUCGUAGUCUUAACCAUAAACUAUGCUGACUAGGGAUCGGAUGAUGUUAAUUUUUUAAUGACUCAUUCGGCGCCUUACGGGAAACCAAAGUGUUUGGGUUC
rnacentral:rRNA from 1 species